AUGCAAGGGCGAAACAUUUUGGAUGGUGUUGCUGUCCUUCAUGAAAUGGUCCACGAGCUUCAUCAUAAAAAAUUGAAUGGAGUCAUUUUUAAAAUCGACUUCGAGAAAGCUUAUGAUAAAGUAAAGUGGCCCUUUUUGUUACAAACAUUACGUAUGAAAGGGUUUUCUGAUACUUGGUGUCGAUGGGUUGAGAGCUUUGUGUCCGAAGGUAGCGUAGCUAUUAAGGUAAACGACGAUGUAGGCAACUAUUUCCAGACAAGGAAGGGGCUCCGUCAAGGGGACCCCGCAUCACCCAUUCUGUUUAAUAUUGUGGCUGAUAUGUUAGCUACUCUUAUUGAGAGGGCCAAGUUAGCAGGUCAAGUCACCGGGGUCAUUCCUCAUUUAGUAGAAGGAGGCCUAUCAAUUUUACAAUAUGCGGAUGACACCAUUUUGUUCCUGGACCAUGACUUAGAAAAGGCCAGAAACCUUAAAUUGUUGUUAUGUGCCUUUGAGGAUCUUUCUGGACUAAAGAUUAAUUUUCAUAAGAGUGAACUCUUCUGUUUUGGCGAGGCUGCAGAAGUUUCACAAGAUUAUGCUGAAAUCUUUGGUUGUCAACUCGGACAAUUUCCAAUUCGCUAUCUGGGUAUCCCUAUUCACUAUAGGCGACUAACAAUAGCUGAAUGGAAGCAUGUUGAAGAGAGACUGGAGAAACGUCUGGCCAGUUGGAAGGCCAAACUCUUUUCCUAUGGAGGUCGACUAAUCUUGAUCAAUUCGGUCCUU
rnacentral:rRNA from 1 species